rnacentral:rRNA from 1 species
GAUGAACGCUGGCGGCGUGCCUAAUACAUGCAAGUCGAGCGAACAGACGAGGAGCUUGCUCCUCUGACGUUAGCGGCGGACGGGUGAGUAACACGUGGAUAACCUACCUAUAAGACUGGGAUAACUUCGGGAAACCGGAGCUAAUACCGGAUAAUAUAUUGAACCGCAUGGUUCAAUAGUGAAAGACGGUUUUGCUGUCACUUAUAGAUGGAUCCGCGCCGCAUUAGCUAGUUGGUAAGGUAACGGCUUACCAAGGCAACGAUGCGUAGCCGACCUGAGAGGGUGAUCGGCCACACGGGAACGGAGACACGGUCAAGACGCCUACGGGAGGCAGCAGUAGGGAAUCUUCCGCAAUGGGCGAAAGCCUGACGGAGCAACGCCGCGUGAGUGAUGAAGGUCUUCGGAUCGUAAAACUCUGUUAUUAGGGAAGAACAAAUGUGUAAGUAACUAUGCACGUCUUGACGGUACCUAAUCAGAAAGCCACGGCUAACUACGUG